AACGUAGGAGGCAAGCGUUAUCCGGAUUCACUGGGCUUAAAGCGCGUGCAGGCGGUCCGGUACGUCGGACGUGAAAGCUCCUGGCUCAACCGGGAGAGGCCGUUCGAUACUGCCGGACUCGAGGGUAGGAGAGGGAGGUGGAAUUCCGGGUGUAGCGGUGAAAUGCGUAGAUAUCCGGAGGAACACCUGUGGCGAAAGCGGCCUCCUGGCCUGCCCCUGACGCUCAGACGCGAAAGCUAGGGGAGCAAACGGG
rnacentral:rRNA from 2 species